UACGAAGGGUGCAAGCGUUAAUCGGAAUUACUGGGCGUAAAGGGUGCGUAGGCGGUUGUUUAAGUCUGCCGUGAAAUCCCCGGGCUCAACCUGGGAAUGGCGGUGGAUACUGGGCAGCUAGAGUGUGUCAGAGGAUGGUGGAAUUCCCGGUGUAGCGGUGGAAUGCGCAGAUAUCAGGAGGAACACCGAUGGCGAAGGCAGGUCUCUGGGCCACUACUGACGCUGAGGCGCGAAAGCUAGGGGAGCGAACGGG
rnacentral:rRNA from 1 species